UUCACAGAUUGCAUCCUACCUUGUAAACAGCAUACUAGUCCAGUGGUUACCCCAGAAACGACAUCACCGGGCACUGCUCAGCUGUUCUCGUAAACUCUGGACCUCUUGGGCUUGUCUCUCAUGAACCUGGUCAAAGACCCGGUUUGAGUAGAUGCGUCGUGACACGUGGAUGGCUAGUCCAGAUUAGCGAACACUUCGAGGGUCUCGCCUCCCCUGUGUCAGAACAAUCUGAUCGAACAGACCAAAAGAGCCCUUCUCCCUUUCUCUGGCAGUACCUCCCUGUUCAAUAGACCAGCUCUUCCAGGUCUGCACUAAGAUCACUGAACCCAUUGACAUCAGAAACCCUUCCAAAAGUUGGGAGGGGAUCCAAUCUCCCUCUCUGAAUAAGGAGGUUUGUGUCUACCACACAUUUGAGAACCAUACGUAGAAACACAAAAAGAAAACCUUAUCCUGAAACCACCUUUUCUAUAUCAGAUGACACUGAUGUUAAAUGAAAUCCUGCAUUUAUUCAAGUGCAUUUGAGUUUAUACUAAAAUACUCAUUGGUAUGAGUUGAUUAUGAAGCCUUACCGGUUAGGUUUUGAGUUUGGCAGAGUGAAAUUCCACAAGAAUAGGGUGCAUCCAUGCCAGACGUCCACUUAAAGGCACAUUUUGUCGAUGUCUAUGAAGUCGGACUCUCUUAAUGUGGCCAUCAUCCCUCUCUUUUGUAUUUAUAAGCAGCGUUGGGAUGUGGGAGGUGUAUCAGGGUUAAGCACCAACAGGAAGCAUGAGGGAAUUACAUCAGAGGUCUACAGCAUGCAUCCUGCCAAGGGUGACUGUCCCUCCCAAUCUUGUUGGAAAGCGUGUGUGUCUGUUUGGGAUAGAAAGGGAGUGAGGAGGGCCUGUGAUGUGUCAAAGGUGGGCUGUGUUGUAUGUAUGUACAUGUUGAUCAGUGCAGGUGUGACUGAACACUCAAGAAAGAAUGAUAUGAUAAUACGCACGACACAAUCUGACCUUCUUAGUACAGAUUGUCUAGAUAUGGCCAGAUCUCUCCUCAGAACAUGAGCCAGCUCUUGAAUACAUAGUGUCUGACGGUCUGUUGAUAAGCCAGAAUUGAGUCAGCUUCAUCAUUUGUCUGAAAAAUCAGGCUCUUUUUGGCAUAGUAGCUCUUUUUUAAUUUCUUCUAAGUACACUUGUGACGUAAUGACGAUUACUACAAAGAAUUUAAAUCUAAUUUUUGAAAAUACUGAAAGGUAACGUUGAAGCCUUUACAAUGGGAGUGAUUAGGGCCAAUCUCUGGAAAAAGUAUAACUGGAAAUAUGAAGCUUAUAAUUUUAUAACAGCACUUCUUUAAUUAUUCUUUCAAAACUUGUGAGUAUUUGAGCUAAAACGUUUAAAUCAUACAGUUUACAUUAUUAUUAUUAUUAUUAUUAUUAGUUUUUUUUUUUUAUAGCAUUGCAUUUCAUGGUGACAAAGUUAUACAAUUAAUAAUAUAUGAAAUAAGCUUCUACAGAGUUAUUUUAAUUUUAUUUGUUUGUAUGUUUUCCACCUCACUAAAAUCAUUUUAACAUGCAUAUUCUUUACGUAUAUUUGUAACUAUACUAUAAGAACAGUAAGUAUUUUAACGUUUGUGGAUUUACUUCAUUUUCAGUCUCUCACUGUAACCGAGAUUUAUGCCUUUUUAUAUCAAAAAGGAGGAAGUGGAAUAUAAUUUUGUGCCAACCAACAUUAUGCCACAAAUGCUGUAGAAUGAGGUUAACUUAUACGCUGUCUGAGGUUUGUGUAUUAUAUAAUAAAAUUAUAU